rnacentral:rRNA from 1 species
UGGGGAAUCUUAGACAAUGGGCGCAAGCUUGAUCCAGCCAUGCCGCGUGAGUGAAGAAGGCCUUAGGGUCGUAAAGCUCUUUCGCCAGGGAUGAUAAUGACAGUACCUGGUAAAGAAACCCCGGCUAAAUCUGUGCCAGCAGCCGCGGUAAUACGGAGGGGGUUAGCGUUGUUUGGAAUUACUGGGCGUAAAGCGCACGUAGGCGGAUUAGAAAGUUAAAGGUGAAAUCCCAGGGCUCAACCCUGGAACUGCCUUUAAAACUCCUAGUCUUGAGUUCGAGAGAGGUGAGUGGAAUUCCAAGUGUAGAGGUGAAAUUUGUAGAUAUUUGGAGGAACACCAGUGGCGAAGGCGGCUCAUUGGCUCGAUACUGACGCUGAGGUGCGAAAGUGUGGGGAGCAAACAGGAUUAGAUACCCUGGUAGUCCACCCCGUAAACGAUGAAUGCCAGUCGUCGGGUAGUAUACUAUUCGGUGACACACCUAACGCAUUAAGCAUUCCGCCUGGGGAGUACGGUCGCAAG